GAGGAAUAUUGGGCAAUGCCCGCAAGGGUGACCCAGCAACGCCGCGUGGAGGAUGAAUGUCGUAAGAUUGUAAACUCCUGUUAGAGGGGAAGAAUAGUACCGGUUGGACCGGUAUAUGACUGUACCCACAGAGAAAGCCCCGGCUAACUACGUGCCAGCAGCCGCGGUAAUACGUAGGGGGCAAGCGUUGUCCGGAUUUACUGGGUGUAAAGGGCGCGCAGGCGGGAUAAAAAGUCAGUGGUGAAAUCCUACAGCUUAACUGUAGAACUGCCUUUGAUACUUUUAUUCUUGAGUUCGGGAGAGAGACGGAAUUCCAGGUGUAGUGGUGAAAUACGUAGAUAUCUGGAAGAACACCAGUUGCGAAGGCGGUCUCUUGGUCCGACACUGACGCUGAGGCGCGAAAGCGUGGGGAGCAAAC
rnacentral:rRNA from 1 species